GGCAGGGUUAGCCAUCGUGUUGCGCUCGGGGAUGGAACGAAGAGGAGCGGAUGGGGAUCCACCGAUCCAGUGGAGCAGACCAAUGCGCAGCUUCCUUAUCAGCGACAGCAAGAGUCGCUUUGAUGGGAAGUUGAGGGCGCAAGUAGAAGGCAGCAGUAGCAGCAGCUUAGCCUCCAUCAGUGGCAGCAGCAGUAGAACACCCUCCUAAUACUGUAGCAAGUCACGGUGUUGGCGGACCAUGUCCCAGUGGUCGUUGAGCGCAAAGGGCACGUUCUCUGGUUAGCAUCUUCGUUUGCGCCGGGUGGUUUGCACAGAAGGGUGGAAUUGCCUAGCAAUUGAUGCAACACCUGAGUAGCAGAUGCUGCCAUAAUAGACUUUCAUUUAUGAUAGUUGUCAAGCCUUCUUUUCAUAUAGGACCUUCAGGAACACAAGGACUGCAUCACCUCAGCCUCACACUGAGAGAUGGCCUGGCCACUAUGCCAAGCACCGCCCGGUGCUGCUCACGUACGUAAGGCACAUGUCGCACCGCCGGCCAGUUGAUGGCCUCAGCCACACAUCUGCUUCCUUUGCAUGCAAGGAAAGGUGGGAGCGAAAGAAGAGAGGGAAGAAGAAGGCCAAGGAGAAAAUAGUCCAAGAGGACCAGAUCAAGAAGUGUUGGUAAUCGAAGGACCCUUCCGAUGUCGCCGUGCCGUCUAUACCGCCGUGAUCACGGUGAGCUAUUGAGUCCUACUGUGGUGGUUCUGGAGAUAGAGCUGGCUUGAGGUUGCAACUGGUUUCACGGUGUAGAUGGACACGGACGUCUGUGGGUCCGUUUGUCCGUGUCCGUGAGAAUGGCAUAAACGACGUCGUGGACCGGCCAUAUAACUUAUACAGACUUACGGACAUGGCCCGCUCAGCCUGCUAUGCCUGUUUAUCCUGUGAAGGAGAAAAAAGUCAAAGAAACAGAGAAGCUCCCCUGGAUAGGGCACGCCGCCCCAACAUUCCCCGCCGCUGGACCGGCGUCCCGUCCGCCUGUCGCCUCCACCCGGCCUGCACCCAGGUCGUCGCUGCCCUCCAUCCCGCUGACCCGCUCGUCCCAGUGCCACCCAGCUCGCUGCCCAAUGCCUCCCUCUAUGCAUGUGUCGUCCCGCCUGUCUUGCUGUCGCCGCGUGCAGAUUAAUGGUGGAGGAGGAGGAGAAGAAUCUGGCAGAUGAGAAGGAGGACAAGAACUUGGCAGGGGAGAAGUACAAAAUCCAGCGGGACAGUUUCUAAGCGAAGGAGGCGACAUUCACAAAUAGUAGUCAUGUCCUUACUCGUAGGAGCUUAAGUUCUCCAUCGAAGAGUUGAGGGAAUGACACUGUUUGCAAGACAAAACUAGAGAUGGCCGCUACUUCUAGUUCGUGCUUGAUUUUUGAAGGGCAGGAACCUUCGUGAAGAACUAAUGCAUGCUUUGCUGGCUCCUUUAUUCGAGCCCCAUGAACGGUGGGAGUCGUGCACGAAGUACAUGGAUCCCCGCCGCCGCUGCAGUUCACAGGCACCUGCCCUGCGCCGCCCAUGCAGCUGCCACAGCGGGCACCACCACCAGCGCCUCCGUCUGCCUUUUCCUUGUUUUUCACGGUGCAGGAGUAGUAAUUCAGCAUGUUCUCUUAGAAGAAAGAAUUGGCCUGAACCUGAUAAUUGCAAUCCCCGAUAAUUUUGUCUUAACCUGGGCAGAGUUUGCCUUUUGACUUGCGCACUACCUUGUUGAUUUAGUACAUGCCUAGUGAGGGUGUGGAUGGCUACAGGUACCCAGUUUUU